rnacentral:rRNA from 1 species
AUGGAGUUCAUUCACAAGGGUGGGGUUUGGUGGUUCCUCCUGCUCGCAAUGGUGUUGCUGGCUCCGGCGACGGUAGGCGCCGAGCAGGAGGAUGGGGCCACAACCAUUACCACCUUGCACGUGGAGGAGGAGGUCGGCUCGCGUGCCGAUGACCAUGGCAACGACGAUUGCGACAUCAAGUGCGCCUAUUACCAAGAUCUGGCCAGGAGACAGUUCUGUGUGGACCAGUGCCACAGCCAGCAGCAUCAUCAUCCUAGCAGAGAAGACUGCGAGUUGAAAUGUCAACACUGGCAAGACCCAACAAGAAAGGAAUUAUGCGUGCAACAGUGCAUGAGCUUCGGCCUCAACCUCCAUGUGAGUGGCAGCAGCAGCGUGGACGAGCACCUCCGCGGCUGGGAAGCGGUGGCCGGAGCCAUCAUCGAGGAGGUGGUGUGA